rnacentral:rRNA from 1 species
UACGUAGGGACCGAGCGUUGUCCGGAAUCAUUGGGCGUAAAGAGCGUGUAGGCGGCCACUUAAGUCCUGCGUGAAAUCUUGCGGCUCAACCGCAAGCGGUCGUGGGAAACUGGGUGGCUAGAGUGCGGGAGAGGAGAGUGGAAUUCCUGGUGUAGCGGUGGAAUGCGCAGAUAUCAGGAGGAACACCAAUGGCGAAGGCAAUGUUCUGGCUCGUUUCUGACACUCAGGUGCGAAAGCCAGGGGAGCGAACGGG